rnacentral:rRNA from 1 species
UACGUAGGGUGCGAGCGUUAAUCGGAAUUACUGGGCGUAAAGCGUGCGCAGGCGGCGCGUUAAGACAGGUGUGAAAGCCCCGAGCUUAACUUGGGAAUUGCGCUUGUGACUGGCGGGCUGGAGUGUGGCAGAGGGAGGUGGAAUUCCACGUGUAGCAGUGAAAUGCGUAGAGAUGUGGAGGAACACCGAUGGCGAAGGCAGCCUGCUGGGCAGUUUGGCUGACACUGAGGCGCGACAGCGUGGGGAGCAAACAGG